rnacentral:lncRNA from 1 species
GGGGAGGAGCCGGUUUUACCCGGAGGCGCGGGUCCUGCGGUCGGUGCCGCGCCGGUCACCCAGGCCCUGGGACCGCUGCCAGGGAGCGCGGCGGGGCGGCCAGGUGGCCGCGCGGGGUCUCCGAGCCGAUAGAGGCCGAGCGUGGGGAGCCUGCAGGGGUGAUCGGCGUGGCCGCGCACUGGGCCGUAGCGGUCUGAGGGAUCCGGGCUUCUGGGCGCUGAAACAGGUCCCUGGCGGAGGGGCCCAGACCCUGAGCUUGGGCACCCAUGGGCCAGGCAGCUGCCUAGUACUCGCCGCACGCCGGGCAGUGAGGGUCCGCGGCGCUCUGUGGGCCACCUUGUGGAGUCACGGGGCGAUCACUGCCUACCUGGCUGCCGGGAGGAGCCCAGGCCCCAAGCCCGGAGACACACUCACUGUCCCAGAUUCCUUCUGGGACUGGGAGCAGGCCGAGGCCAGAAACUGAAGCGCAGACAGGGAAGUGAGCCUCUUCACCUCCCUUAUGCUGGAGGACAGGGUGAGGGCACAGGAGCAUCUCAGGGCCACAGUGAUCUGGCUUUUCUGCAGGUGAAGCAUGGAGGAAGCAAAAGAGAUGCGAAAGGAGAAAUACUGUCACACAAGCAGUCACAGUUUGAAGCAUGUGAAGGAUUCGACCUGUCCCUGUUGAUUUGAAGAUGAAGAUAACAGUGUAAUGAGGAAAGCAGGUUGCCUUGGAAGCUGAGAGAGGCCUCUGGCUGACACUGGGAAAUAGAGUCACCUGCCCUGCAACACAAGGGGCUGAAUUCAGCCAACAACCUGAAUGAGGUUGAAGGCAUAUUCAUCUCCCAAGCCUCUAGAAGAAAGAAGCCAUGGACACCUGGCUUUUGGCUUUAUGAAACUCAACUCAGCCACACUCUGGGACUUCUGAAUUACAGAACUGUAAGAAAAUGAAUGAGGGUUUCAGCCAUUAUGUUUACGGUGCAGUGUCAAUGGGGUACUCAUUCAUAGCCACACCAAAUCUUGAAAUUGGGUGUGUACUUUAAACCCACAAUACACUUCAGUUUGAACUUGCUUUCUACAAGUAUUCAAUAUCACAUGUAUCUAGUGGCUAUGCUGAUGGGCAGUACAUAUCUAGACCAAGAAGAAGCAAGAAAUUUGGAAGUGCCAGAUGUGUACACUGAGUAUAAUUGUUGACCUGUGGAGAGAGAAGAGAGGAGUAAGGAAGGGAGGAACUUGACAAGUUUUUUUUCCUAAUUCUCUUUCCUGUCCCAUGUGAAAUAAUAGAAACAAGCUCACACAGAAAACAGGCUACAUUUUAUAAGUCAGCUAUUUUAAAUCUAUUGACU